AACGAACGCUGGCGGCGUGCUUAACACAUGCAAGUCGAACGCGAAAGGGACUUCGGUCCUGAGUAGAGUGGCGCACGGGUGAGUAACGCGUAAGUAAUCUACCCCUGUAUUCGGAAUAACCCACCGAAAGGUGAGCUAAUACCGGAUACGUUUAUCUUGAUGCGAAUGAUGAUAAAGAAAGGUGGCCUCUUCAUGAAAGCUACUGUACAGGGACGAGCUUGCGUACCAUUAGCUAGUUGGUAGGGUAAUGGCCUACCAAGGCGACGAUGGUUAGCGGGUCUGAGAGGAUGAUCCGCCACACUGGAACUGGAACACGGACCAGACUCCUACGGGAGGCAGCAGUGAGGAAUAUUGCGCAAUGGGGGCAACCCUGACGCAGCGACGCCGCGUGGAUGAUGAAGGCCCUUGGGUCGUAAAAUCCUGUCAGAUGGAAAGAAAUGUAUAGCAGUUAAUAUCUGUUAUAUUUGACGGUACCAUCAAAGGAAGCACCGGCUAACUCCGUGCCAGCAGCCGCAGUAACAC
rnacentral:rRNA from 1 species